rnacentral:rRNA from 1 species
AUUGAACGCUGGCGGCAGGCCUAACACAUGCAAGUCGAGCGGGGUUUUCGGACCUAGCGGCGGACGGGUGAGUAAUGCGUAGGAAGCUGCCCGAUAGAGGGGGAUACCAGUUGGAAACGACUGUUAAUACCGCAUAAUGUCUACGGACCAAAGUGUGGGACCUUCGGGCCACAUGCUAUCGGAUGCGCCUACGUGGGAUUAGCUAGUUGGUGAGGUAAUGGCUCACCAAGGCGACGAUCUCUAGCUGGUUUGAGAGGAUGAUCAGCCACACUGGAACUGAGACACGGUCCAGACUCCUACGGGAGGCAGCAGUGGGGAAUAUUGGACAAUGGGCGCAAGCCUGAUCCAGCCAUGCCGCGUGUGUGAAGAAGGCCUUCGGGUUGUAAAGCACUUUCAGCGAGGAGGUAGGGUGGUGUGUUAAUAGCACAUCAUUUUGACGUUACUCGCAGAAGAAGCACCGGCUAACUCCGUGCCAGCCGCCGCAGUAA